GAUGAACGCUGGCGGCGUGCCUAAUACAUGCAAGUCGAGCGAACAGACGAGGAGCUUGCUCCUCUGACGUUAGCGGCGGACGGGUGAGUAACACGUGGAUAACCUACCUAUAAGACUGGGAUAACUUCGGGAAACCGGAGCUAAUACCGGAUAAUAUAUUGAACCGCAUGGUUCAAUAGUGAAAGACGGUUUUGCUGUCACUUAUAGAUGGAUCCGCGCCGCAUUAGCUAGUUGGUAAGGUAACAGCUUACCAAGGCAACGAUGCGUAGCCGACCUGAGAGGGUGUUCGCCCCCACUGGAACUGGGCCCCGUUCCAACUCCCUCGGGGGGGCGCCAUUGGGAAUUCUGCCGCAUGGGGCAAAACCCUGACGGAGCAACCCCGCGUUAGUGAGGAGGGUUUUGGGUUGUUAAACCUUUUUUUUUGGGGAAAAAAAAAUUUGUAAAUAACCUUGCUCUUUUGGCCGGUCCCUAAGCAGAAGGCCCCGGCUAAUUCGUU
rnacentral:rRNA from 1 species